rnacentral:rRNA from 1 species
UACGUAGGGGGCAAGCGUUGUCCGGAAUCAUUGGGCGUAAAGAGCGCGUAGGCGGCCCUGUAAGUCCGCUGUGAAAGUCAAGGGCUCAACCCUUGGAUGCCGGUGGAUACUGCCGGGCUAGAGUCCGGAAGAGGCGAGUGGAACUCCUGGUGUAGCGGUGGAAUGCGCAGAUAUCAGGAAGAACACCAACGGCGAAGGCAGCUCGCUGGGACGGUACUGACGCUGAGACGCGAAAGCGUGGGGAGCGAACAGG